rnacentral:rRNA from 1 species
GCUUUCCGGAUGAUUACUUUGAGAAAAUUAGAGUGCUCAAAGCAGGCUUUUGCCUUGAAUAGUUUAGCAUGGAAUAAUAAAGUAGGACUUUGGUUCUAUUUUGUUGGUUUUAGGUACCAAAGUAAUGGUUAAUAGGAACAGUUGGGGGCAUUCGUAUUUAACUGUCAGAGGUGAAAUUCUUAGAUUUGUUAAAGACGAACUACUGCGAAAGCAUUUGCCAAGGAUG